rnacentral:misc_RNA from 1 species
GAAUUUCCUGCCGGCUCACAAAUUCGUCGUUGCUGCUACUGCUUGAAAGCCUUUUAGCGGAGGUCAGGUCGAUGCCUCCUUUGCCCAAAUGUUGUACUUCAUGCAGUGAGAGUAUUUUUAUGCACCAAACAUUAUUCACAAAUUCCUGCCAUGGGUCGUCGCCGACGAGAAGAACAUCGUUCUCCUGGUCGACGAAUACAAGCUGCCAGC